UCAGAACCAACAUCAGAAUAUUCCUGUCUGCCAUCUGGAAUCUUCUUCACUAACAGGAGUUCGCACAUAUUUGUUUUUGUCUCAAAGUCUUGAAAUGCUGCCCGGCCCAGUCUCCAUCUCUCGUCACAUGCUGUGAUGGAAAGCCAGUAAGCCAGAUGCUUUACGUGGGAUCUGAAGAGAAAGAGCGAUUCUCGACAAUUCAGUGUCAUUUCAGAUGCGCUGAAAUCCUCCUACCCCUCAUUCACCGUGUCCACUGACCACGUUGAGACCAGUGAAGUCAUUAUCAU